rnacentral:rRNA from 1 species
AUUGAACGCUGGCGGCAGGCUUAACACAUGCAAGUCGAGCGGGGUGAUGGUGCUUGCACUAUCACUUAGCGGCGGACGGGUGAGUAAUGCUUAGGAAUCUGCCUAUUAGUGGGGGACGACAUCUCGAAAGGGAUGCUAAUACCGCAUACGUCCUACGGGAGAAGGCAGGGGAUCACUUGUGACCUUGCGCUAAUAGAUGAGCCUAAGUCGGAUUAGCUAGUUGGUGGGGUAAAGGCCUACCAAGGCGACGAUCUGUAGCGGGUAUGAGAGGAUGAUCCGCCACACUGGGACUGAGACACGGCCCAGACUCCUACGGGAGGCAGCAGUGGGGAAUAUUGGACAACGGGGGGAACCCUGAUCCAGCCAUGCCGCGUGUGUGAAGAAGGCCUUAUGGUUGUAAAGCACUUUAAGCGAGGAGGAGGCUCUUUUGGUUAAUACCCAAGAUGAGUGGACGUUACUCGCAGAAUAAGCACCGGCUAACUCCGUGCCAGCCGCCGCAGUAA